CUCGGGCUCAUUUGCAUCCUGGGCAGCUGUCUCCACCAAGGCAUAAGACAGGCCUGGGAGGCACCUGCCCAGCCCAGGCCUUGGAAGCAGCAUCGGGGGUGUCUCCGCCAUGGUCUGGACCUCUCUUCUUCUCGGCCUCCUGGCUCACUGCACAGGCUCCGUGUCCUCCCAUGAGCUGACUCAGCCACUCUCUGUGUCAGUGGCCCUGGGAGAGACAGUCAGGAUCACCUGUGGGGGAAACAACAUUGGAAGCAAAGUUGCUCACUGGUACCAGCAGAAGCCAGGCCAGUCCCCUGUGCUGGUCAUGGCUGAUAGCAGCCGGCCCUCAGGGAUCCCUGAGAGGUUCUCAGGCUCCAACUCAGGGAGCACGGCCACCCUGACCAUCAGCGGAACCCAGGCUGUGGAUGAGGCCGACUAUUACUGUCAGGUGUGGGACAGCGACAUUGCUCACAGUGACACAGGCAGAUGGGGAAGUGAGACACAAACCUACCCGCCCAGCCUGGCUCCCCUGGCCCCACCAUCCCCACUUCCCUAGUGAGUGGGGCAUAACCUUCCAUGCAGAGGGAAGUUUCUAGUCCCACCUUGCCCUUAUGUUCUUGAGAGUUGGAGAGCAAGUCCCUGUCUGUCUUCAGGUUCAGCUUAUCCACUGAAAACUGAGCAGGCUAUUUUAAUGCUCAAACACCAGCUCCCAAGGACCACCAGAAACCCUGAUAGAUUGGCUGGGCCGGGUCCAUCGGCAGUAAGGGAGCAUGAACCUGGGAGUCAUUGCAGUGUCUCGGAGCGGGAGGGCAGUAGAAAGUUUGUAAGGUUUCGGGAUCUGUCCUUGAGUGGUUUUAGGCAGGUCUUAGAAGGAGGGAACUUACUAGAACGGGGUCACAUCUGUGAUGUCACAGCACAGGUUGGCGGACACAAGGAAGAGGAAGUCUUGAAUUGAUUCUUGCUUACUAAAUAUGUGUUGGGUAAAUGAACAAUUUGCCCAGGUGAGAAUUGUCUAUCUCGUGGAGCCACAGUUUAACUGGAUAAUUGGUUUUUAGCUUUACCUGUAGCAAUGAGUGAUAAUUCUUUACUGUUUGCACCAGUGUUUUUCAACCUUUUUUAUCUCAUGGCACACUUGAACCUAGAGUUAAACUUCCCCAGCACACUUAAAUUAUGUUGAUCAAAAAAGGGGGGGGUGUAAAAAAAAGAAUACGCUUACUGUGCUUUGAAGUUCUUUUGAAAAUAAUUGGAUUAAAGAUCCUUGAACAUU